CAAAGCCAAGGUCGAUUAGCAUCCAAUACCACAAAGGAGGAACUGAGUUGCAUGAGUCCUUUGUUUAGAUACUCUAUAUGACUGUCACGUUGAAGCUCUAACAUUAGGUUUUGAGCCUUGGGAGGGAUAUUAGCGAAGAUAUCGUAGAUCUGGAAAACUUGAUCCUGAACCAUCCAUUGCUCGCGUUGGGUCACCGUCGCCCGACGUUGAUUCGACGAUUCCACUGAGUCCAUUCGUUCUGACCACUCCUUGAGAGCUGCACAGUAAAACUGCUUGUUUCGACUCUGGUGUCUGAGUCGAUCAUUCGC
rnacentral:misc_RNA from 1 species